rnacentral:rRNA from 1 species
ACGGAGGGUGCAAGCGUUAUCCGGAAUCACUGGGUUUAAAGGGUGCGUAGGCGGCCUGUUAAGUCAGGGGUGAAAGGCUGUAGCUCAACUACAGAAUUGCCUUUGAUACUGAUAGGCUUGAAAUAAAUUGAGGUUGGCGGAAUGUGACAUGUAGCGGUGAAAUGCAUAGAUAUGUCAUAGAACACCAAUUGCGAAGGCAGCUGACUAGAUUUUAUUUGACGCUGAGGCACGAAAGCGUGGGGAGCGAACAGG